rnacentral:tRNA from 1 species
AGUUUAAGUAGUGUAAAACACGUUAAGUUGUAAACUUAAAAAAACCUAGGUCUAAGCUU